CCUACGGGAGGCAGCAGUGGGGAAUAUUGGGCAAUGGAGGAAACUCUGACCCAGCAACGCCGCGUGAAUGAUGAAGGUCUUCGGAUUGUAAAGUUCUUUUCUAAGGGAAGAAGAAAGUGACGGUACCUUAGGAAUAAGCCUCGGCUAACUACGUGCCAGCAGCCGCGGUAAUACGUAGGAGGCGAGCGUUAUCCGGAAUGACUGGGCGUAAAGGGUGCGUAGGUGGUUUGGCAAGUCAAGGGUGAAAUCCCCGCGCUCAACGUGGGAACUGCCUUUGAAACUGGCAAACUGGAGUGUGUGAGAGGAUAGUGGAAUUCCAGGUGUAGGAGUGAAAUCCGUAGAUAUCUGGAGGAACAUCAGUGGCGAAGGCGACUAUCUGGCACAUAACUGACGCUGAGGAGCGAAAGCGUGGGUAGCAAACAGGAUUAGAUACCCCUGUAGUC
rnacentral:rRNA from 1 species